AUCCGGCGCGGGCGGAGGAUAUUUGAGAGGAGCUGCCCCUAGUACGAGAGGACCGGGGUGGACGGACCACUGGUGUAUCAGCUGUCGACCAACGGCAUAGCUGAGUAGCCAAGUCUGGACGGGAUAAACGCUGAAGGCAUCUAAGCGUGAAGCCCCCCUCAAGAUGAGAUAUCCCCUCCUUCAAGGAGAUAAGAUCCCUUAAAGACGAUAAGGUAGAUAGGUUCAAGGUGUAAGUGUGGUAACACAUUCAGCUGAUGAAUACUAAUAGAUCGAAGGUUUAUUCU
rnacentral:rRNA from 1 species